rnacentral:lncRNA from 1 species
GGUUGAUCAUAUGAUUAAUUUAAAACACUUAAAAACUGAAUUAGUCUCAAUUGUUGAAGGUGCUCUAUAUACUCCUUAGACUGAGGACAUGUACAACUAGGAUGUGGUGUCACAGCAUCAUACUCACUCCAUAAAGUCUUAAGCUUAGUGAAGUAAUGUGACACAGAAUCUGUACCUUGUGUGAGUGUUGUAAUCUCCUUGUGCAGCUGGU